GACGAACGCUGGCGGCGGGCUUAACACAUGCGAGUCGAACGGAAAGGCCCUGCUUGUGUGGGGUGCUCGAGUGGCGAACGGGUGAGUAACACGUGAGUAACCUGCCCUUGACUUUGGGAUAACUUCAGGAAACUGGGGCUAAUACCGGAUAGGAGCUCCUGCUGCAUGGUGGGGGUUGGAAAGUUUCGGCGGGUGGGGAUGGACUCGCGGCUUAUCAGCUUGUUGGUGGGGUAGUGGCUUACCAAGGCUUUGACGGGUAGCCGGCCUGAGAGGGUGACCGGCCACAUUGGGACUGCGAUACGGCCCAGACUCCUACGGGAGGCAGCAGUGGGGAAUAUUGCACAAUGGGCGGAAGCCUGAUGCAGCAACGCCGCGUGCGGGAUGACGGCCUUCGGGUUGUAAACCGCUUUCGCCUGUGACGAAGCGUGAGUGACGGUAAUGGGUAAAGAAGCACCGGCUAACUACGUG
rnacentral:rRNA from 1 species